CGGCCAUGAUGGAAGUGGGCAAUGCGCUGGUUAGCUUGCGUUCCAGCUACGAAAGGUAGCUGCAGCAUGACGUGAUGAUGUCCCUCCAGGAGCAAAGCCUAACCCUCCCCCUGCAAAAGCGGCGUGCAAUCGUCAGGAGCAUCAGGAGGCAUCAGCGAUAUAGAGACCCACGUGUGACAGCUGCCUGUCCAUGAAGCAGUGGAGAGUCACUUUCAGCCAAUAUGAGGUUCAUCGAUUCAUCGACUCUGCCUUCACCACCUUGGCUGCGCCUCCAGAUCAGUGAUAUAAUGG